CCAGCUGGCAGCACUUACAAUAGCAGCACAGAGUGCAGGGCAGCUCUUGCCAGGGGUUUAGUCACCAGCAGACAUGCCGUCUAUAAGCUCCCUGGGCAAACACUCUGUUGCUGGGGUGGGCUGGCACACACACUGCUGCAUCUUCACAGCUCUUGCUACCAGACCUGGGAGCUCUGGGCACACCUCCAGUGCACUCUGAAACCCUACGAAGGCCUCAGUUUCUUGCAAUGCUUUUGCUUUGUCCCCGAGCAGCUCCUGCUUCAGGUGGUGUUACACAGCUGCUGGUUCAGCAAGUUCACUCCUGCAGGAAAGCUACUAAGGGCUGCCUUUUGGGCUAUUGAAUCCUCUGCAGACUACUGUUUGGAAGCAGUUUUUCCUGGCCUGCAUCUCUACAAGUGAGACACGCCGGCCAUUGGUGCCUGGCCAGGAGGAGCCACAAUGUCCUGGAGCCUCUCUCCAUGGAUGGUGAAAUCUUGGGGAGUAAAGUCCUAAAAGAACAAAGCUUAACUCUGCAGUAAGAACUAUGCUUUAAACAGGGUGAGUUGUUUGUGCUUAUUAGUAAUUGACACUUUCUGUCAUUUCUUUCAACAGUC